rnacentral:rRNA from 1 species
UACGAAGGGAGCUAGCGUUGUUCGGAAUCACUGGGCGUAAAGCGCACGUAGGCGGAUUUGUAAGUCAGGGGUGAAAUCCCGGGGCUCAACCUCGGAACUGCCUUUGAUACUGCAAGUCUCGAGUCCGAUAGAGGUGAGUGGAAUUCCUAGUGUAGAGGUGAAAUUCGUAGAUAUUAGGAAGAACACCAGUGGCGAAGGCGGCUCACUGGAUCGGUACUGACGCUGAGGUGCGAAAGCGUGGGGAGCGAACAGG